GCAAGUCGAACGGUAACAGGAAGCAGCUUGCUGCUCGCUGACGAGUGGCGGACGGGUGAGUAAUGUCUGGGAAACUGCCUGAUGAGGGGGGAUAACUACUGGAAACGGUAGCUAAUACCGCAUAACGUCGCAAGACCAAAGAGGGGGACCUUCGGGCCUCUUGCCAUCAGAUGUGCCCAGAUGGGAUUAGCUAGUUGGUGGGGUAACGGCUCACCAAGGCGACGAUCCCUAGCUGGUCUGAGAGGAUGACCAGCCACACUGGAACUGAGACACGGUCCAGACUCCUACGGGAGGCAGCAGUGGGGAAUAUUGCACAAUGGGCGCAAGCCUGAUGCAGCCAUGCCGCCGUGUAUGAAGAAGGCCUUCGGGUUGUAAAGUACUUUCAGCGGGGAGGAAGGUGUUGUGGUUAAUAACCGCAGCAAUUGACGUUACCCGCAGAAGAAGCACCGGCUAACUCCGUGCCAGCCGCCGC
rnacentral:rRNA from 1 species